UGACAAAACCUAGUUCGAUCAACAAACCUACGCCUGUUAGGUCAGCUGCUUCCGUAGAUAACGCCUAUUUUACCAGAUGCUACCGAAAUAAAGCAAGAGGAUGUACCUCGAAUCCAACCUCAACCAUCACCACCAAUAGACAUGCUCAAUUUAAACCAGCCCCAACCCCAGCUGCCGGUGCAAGAUCCACAAGCCACAACGAGUGACGCUAGUUUCGAUUUGCUUGGAGCAUUCGGGGAUGAUAAUUCAUCUGGCAUUGGCUCGGCUCCAAUACCUGAUAUUUUAGAAAUUAAUGUACAACCAACUUCAAAUGUCAACCUUGAUGAUAUCUUCGGCUCAGUUGCUUCAUCGGCGCCGAAAAUCAACCUGGAGUUUAAUAGUUUUUCUGUUAACCAGCCGACACCAACUAGUGCAAACCAACCUGGUGUAUUGGUGUGUGUCGCGUCAGUCUCAGCAAAAUAGUCUUGCAUCAACAACCAGAGCUCAGUACGUCAUAGUUAUUUUUCUUCUCUGUUUUUGGAAGCUAGUGCAAUGAGUAUAUUAUAUACAUAUAUUUGCAGUAUAUUAUAUUUUCAUUGAUCCGCUUAGUUAAGUUUAACUAUAACGAAGCAAAAUGAUGUGUAAAACCAAGUAAUUGCUUUUAAAUCUAAGUAAAAAAAUAUACAAU